CCUACGGGUGGCUGCAGUAGGGAAUAUUGCUCAAUGGGGGAAACCCUGAAGCAGCCAAGUCGCGUGAGGGAGGACGGCCCUACGGGUUGUAAACCUCUUUUGCCGGGGAGCAACGGGCGUCACGUGUGGCGCCACUGAGAGUACCCGGAGAAACAGCAUCGGCUAACUCCGUGCCAGCAGCCGCGGUAAUACGGAGGAUGCGAGCGUUAUCCGGAUUUAUUGGGUUAAAAGGGUGCGUAGGCGGAUCGUUAAGUCAGUGGUCAAAUUGAGGGGCUCAACCCCUUCCCGCCAUUGAAACUGGCGUUCUUGAGUGGAAGAGAAGUAUGCGGAAUGCGUGGUGUAGCGGUGAAAUGCAUAGAUAUCACGCAGAACCCCGAUUGCGAAGGCAGCAUGCCGGCUUCCGACUGACGCUGAAGCACGAAAGCGUGGGGAUCGAACAGGAUUAGAUACCCGGGUAGUC
rnacentral:rRNA from 1 species